rnacentral:rRNA from 1 species
UACCAGCACCCCGAGUGGUCGGGACGAUUAUUGGGCCUAAAGCAUCCGUAGCCGGUUUUACAAGUCCUCCGUUAAAUCCAGCUGCUUAACAGAUGGGCUGCGGAGGAUACUAUAAGACUAGGAGGCAGGAGAGGCAAGCGGUACUCAGUGGGUAGGGGUAAAAUCCGUUGAUCCAUUGAAGACCACCAGUGGCGAAGGCGGCUUGCCAGAAUGCGCUCGACGGUGAGGGAUGAAAGCUGGGGGAGCAAACCGA